rnacentral:rRNA from 1 species
UGGGGAAUCAUUCGCAAUGGGCGAAAGCCUGACGGUGCGACGCCGCGUGGAGGAUGAAGGCCCUAGGGUCGUAAACUCCUGUCAUCAGGGAGUAAUGGCUCAUAUAGUAACUGAUAUGGGUCUUGAUAGUACCUGAAGAGGAAGGGACGGCAAACUUCGUGCCAGCAGCCGCGGUAAUACGAAGGUCCCAAGCGUUGUUCGGAUUUACUGGGCGUAAAGAGUCUGUAGGCGGUGGGGUAAGUCAGAUGUGAAAUCCCGGGGCUCAACCCCGGAACUGCAUCCGAUACUGCCUUACUUGAGGGUCGGAGGGGAGUCUGGAAUUCUCGGUGUAGCAGUGAAAUGCGUAGAUAUCGAGAGGAACACUAGUGGCGAAGGCGAGACUCUGGACGACAACUGACGCUGAGAGACGAAGGCCAGGGGAGCGAAAAGGAUUAGAUACCCCCGUAGUCCCUGAGCGGGCUGGCAAGGCGCAU